rnacentral:misc_RNA from 1 species
UGAAGCAAUGCUCUCUAUAAUUGCAUUAGUACAAAAGGAAUCAUUUCCCGAUGCUAUAGCUGCUAUACAAUCAAACGAUAAAUCCAUCACAAAAAGUCUUGAACAGUUGAUCCCUUUUAUGGAUUCAACUGGGUUACUAAGAGUGGGGGGAAGACUGAGAAAUUCAAGCCUAUCUGAUAGAAAUAAAUACCCAUUGUUGCUCCCAAAAACUCAUCACGUGACAAAUUUGAUUAUAGAUCACUACCAUAAACUGUAUUUACAUCCUGGCCCAGCUAAUUUGCAAGCAGUCAUUCAAAGACAAUUUUGGAUCUUGAGAGCAAGGGACAUAAUUCGUAAGAGAACAAUUAAAUGCAUGGAAUGCUUUCGUGCAAAACCCACUGGGCAACAACCACUCAUGGGAGACCUCCCGUCUGCUAGGCUGCAAGGAGUCAAGGCAUUCCUAAAUACAGGGGUUGAUUAUGGUGGACCUUUUGAUAUAACACUAGGGCGACUGAGGAAGGCUAGAAUAUACAAGGCAUAUAUUUGUUUAUUUAUUUGCCUUUCAACUCGGGCUGUACAUCUAGAAUUAGUCUCGGAAUUAUCAACAGAUGCUUUUCUAGCUGCAAUGAAACGAUUCCUAGCAAGAAGAGGCACUGUUCACACUAUGUAUAGUGAUUGUGGUACCAAUUUUGUGGGAGCAAGCCGAAAACUGUCACAAUGGUAUGAGCUCACAAAAGCAUCAAGGUUCAAUGAGGAGAUGACUAGAGAGCUGGGUAAUCGAGGAAUUAAGUGGGUAUUCAACCCUCCAGCAGCUCCACAUUGGGGAGGAAUCUGGGAAGCAGGAAUUAAAUCUACUAAGAGAUUGCUCAAGGCUGCAGUUGGUAAUCAAAUUCUAACGUAUGAAGAAUUCAGUACUGUAUUAACCCAAAUUGAGUGGAUAUUGAAUUCAAGACCAUUGACCCCUGUUAGUUCAGACCCAAGAGAUUCAAGUGUGUUAACUCCAGGUCAUUUUGUACUCAUGGAAAGCCCAAAGGUUUGGCCAGAGCCAGAGGAAUCAAUUGAACCGGUGAACUUGAGAAAUUGAUGGAGUUUACUCAAAAGAAUUUUAUCUUCAUUCUGGAAACGUUGGCAAUUGGAGUAUGUAUCUAGCUUGCAAACCCGAACAAAAUGGUACAAAAAACAAAGUAAUGUUAAUAUUGGAAGUAUGAUUCUCUUAAAGGAAAGUAACCUACCCCCUCUACAAUGGAGGCUUAGCCAAAUAACGAAGAUAUUCCCUGGACAGGAUGGAGUUGUGAGAGUGGUGGAGGUACAGACUGCAAAGGGAAGUCUCACUAGGGCUGUCAAUAGGGUAUGUCUCCUCCCUAUUGAUGAAGAUUAGGCCUUAUUGAAGGGAGCUUCAAUAAGUUUAGUGGUUAGUUUUUUUUUUUUUGUUUCUCGUUUUACAUGUGGGAAAGGUUCCCAAGUUGCUUUGUUUCUUGUUUUUAUCUAUAGUGGUUGUAUUUAGUCAUUGUUUCUCAUCCCAUCCUCUCCUUUCCGUGGGCCUCCUACUCCUUUUUUUAUAAGUCUCCUCAAGGGCCCCUGAGGAGUGAAGAUAUUUUCCUUUUUUUUCCUAGUUUCCCUAGUAGGGUUCGUUAUAGGUGGCUUUUGUUUUUGUUAUUGGAAGUUCUUCCAAGGUGGGCGGAAUGUUCGGACAUUCUAUCAAUGUUCCUCUUUGUUGUCUGGUGUUGUGUGGUGGAGGGGGCAAUUAAAGGGUGAUGUGUAUAGCAUAAUCGCGCCAGUUGCCGUUUGCCUGCCAACCGAACAGCUCACUUCUCGUAAUGUCAAUUUUUGCAAAGUGAUCUAUUGAUUUAUUGUGAUUCAUUACAAGUGUGUCGUCUCAUCUCGUAUUGUGAUCUGGACCCGGGAUCCUAGAAGCAAGGAGGAUUUGGACAUGAAGAUGGAGUUUUACAAAACAGGGGGAGGCACUUUCAAAAAAAGCCUGGAUGAUGAAGGGGAGAGAUUUGUGGCAUUGAUGGAGCCACAAUUCUUUCCCAUGAAAAACUAUGGUGAUAGUGACGAUGGUUAUCACCAAAAAGAAAUCGAGAUUAUUAGCAUGGAUGCUCAGGCAGCUACUAGUACAGAUGAGGUUUAAGAUACUGAAGCGUCAGUAGAGGUGAUUGAUAUAUUGGCGAGGAGCAAAUUAUAAUUCAGCCUUCCAUUACAGUGGAAAACAAUAAUCUUAUACGAAAAACUCAAAGUGGAGGUUUAGGAACAAAACAAAAGAAAAAAAAGUACGAAGAUUUGAAGGACUACAUGACAGGGAAAGUUGACAUAAACGAACUCAAAAUUGAAAUGAUGAGGGAAAAACACGAGUUGGAACUACAGAUUUUUAAAAAACUAGAAUUAAAAGAAAUAGAGGUUAAAAUAAAACAAAAAGAGUAUGAAAGAAUGUAAAUUAUGUUAAUGUUAAUUGAAUGGAUGGUUUGUGAAAUAGCUUAAUAUCUUCAGUUAUGGUAAGUUAUAUCAUUUUUUGUGUUUCUUAUAAGUAUUAUUAAUUUUCUCAACAAAAUGUAUUCAAUGAAAACGAUAAAAUAAUUAUAUAGCUCUAUUAUUAAAAUAAAUACAAAUAUUAAGUAUCUCAUUUAUUCCUAAAAGGCUACUUGAUAGUU